GCGCGCGUAGCUCAGCGGACAGAGCGCCGGCUUCCGGAGCCGGGCGGCGGGGGUUCGAGUCCUCCCGUGCGCACCU
rnacentral:tRNA from 18 species